rnacentral:rRNA from 1 species
GACGAACGCUGGCGGCGUGCUUAAGACAUGCAAGUCGAACGGAAAGGCCCUGCUUUUGUGGGGUGCUCGAGUGACGAACGGGUGAGUAACACGUGAGUAACCUGCCCUUGACUUUGGGAUAACUUCAGGAAACUGGGGCUAAUACCGGAUAGGAGCUCCUGCUGCAUGGUGGGGGUUGGAAAGUUUCGGCGGUUGGGGAUGGACUCGCGGCUUAUCAGCUUGUUGGUGGGGUAGUGGCUUACCAAGGCUUUGACGGGUGGCCGGCCUGAGAGGGUGACCGGCCACAUUGGGACUGAGAUACGGCCCAGACUCCUACGGGAGGCAGCAGUGGGGAAUAUUGCACAAUGGGCGGAAGCCUGAUGCAGCAACGCCGCGUGCGGGAUGACGGCCUUCGGGUUGUAAACCGCUUUCGCCUGUGACGAAGCGUGAGUGACGGUAAUGGGUAAAGAAGCACCGGCUAACUACGUG